rnacentral:piRNA from 1 species
UGGGAUGUGUUUACGGCAGCCUGACUGGC